rnacentral:rRNA from 1 species
AUUGAACGCUGGCGGCAGGCCUAACACAUGCAAGUCGGGCGAUUUUGACUUCGGUCAGAAGAGCGGCGAACGGGUGAGUAACACGUAGGAAUCUGCCUGGUAGUGGGGGACAACGUUCCGAAAGGAACGCUAAUACCGCAUACGCCCUACGGGGAAAGCGGGGCUCUUCGGACCUCGCGCUAACAGAUGAGCCUGCGUUGGAUUAGCUAGUUGGUAGGGUAAAGGCCUACCAAGGCGACGAUCCAUAGCUGGUCUGAGAGGACGAUCAGCCACACUGGGACUGAGACACGGCCCAGACUCCUACGGGUGGCUG